UGCAAGAAUAGCACAAAGAAUUUCUGUAGAUACUUCACCUAGAUUCGCCAAUUGCUGAUACUUGCUUUAUGGUCUCUCUCCUUCCAUAUGUAUGUAAUAUACACAUUAUUUUUCUGACAAUUUCAGAGUAAGUCACAGUCAUGAUGUUCCUUUAUCCCUAAAGAUUCCAGUAAGUAUGCACUAAGAGUAAAGACAUCCUCUUAGUAACUACAGGCACAGUUAUCAAAAUCAGAAAAAGAAUGUAAAAAUAAUACAUGUACAAUACUGUUUUCUAUUCCUCAGACUUUAUUUAUUGUUUUACCAAUCAAUUGUUCCAAUAACAUGUUUUUAUGCAAAAACAUUCUGCUCCAGGAUCCAGUCCAGGGUCACAUGUUGUACUUAUUUCCUAGGUCUCUUCAGUUUUCUUUAAUCUGGGGGAUUCUUUAGUCUGGCUUUCUCUUUUGAGACCUUGACAUUUUGACCACGAUUUUGUAGCAUUUCCUCACCUAGGGGUUGUCUCAUGUUUCUUCCUGAUUAAACUGAGGUUGUGAAUUUCUGGCAGGAGAACCACAGAAGUGAGAUGAUGCCCUUUUCAGAGCAACGUCAGGAACACAUGCUUCCCAGCGCCACACAGUUAAGGAGAUGUCUGACAGUCCUCUUUUCUGUACAGAUGCCACACACCACGUGUUCCCAGCUCUAAGAGGCCUGUUUGUCCCCAUUUUACCACCUCUGGAUUCAGGACACGCCUGGCUGCAUUGUCUCCUUGUCUGCAUAGAAACUUGUGGGACAGAAGCCGCUGGCAGACGUUGGUGGGGACCCUCACAACGCCCCCAAUUCAGGCCCCUGAGGCCACAGGAAAGGAUGUGGCACAAGGAGGCCAACCAUGCAGUCCUGCUUGGAGCGGUGACUGGGAAGACAGACGUACCCUGAAGAAGCACAGAGGAAUCGAGACCAAUUGUUUUUGCCUUAUUUUCCUAGUUAAGUAUACAAAGGAGUGAUAUCAAUAAAAACCUAUGUCUAAAUAAGUAAAAACUGCUCUUUUGACAGGUACGAAAUGAAAACUCUGUGUUGAGAGCAGCUUUCUAGUUUGGGGGACAAUCUUGAUCUCUCUUAGCUGAAUGGGAGUCUUCGAUUCUAUGAAGGGCCAGACGCAUUGCUGGUGGGUGGGUUGGCACAGUCCACUGCAAGCCUUCACCAAUGGCACUGGUGCCGCCGCUGACGCAGGGAGGAGAGGGCUGCUCUGCGGAUUGACCGGUUGGAGGCAGGUGCAGGUUCCAGAGACCCCCAUGCUCCCCAAUGCUUGGGAGGCGCUGUGGUUUGACUUGAAUGCUGCUGUGGAGUUAUUGGUGGCUCCCCCAAGCAUAGUUCACAAAUGAACUGAGGUUUGAUGUUGUUUUAGGUACCAUACGUGUUAUUUUCUCAAAAAUAUGUCCUGGAACGUCCCUGCCUCCGAUGGCUUUCUUUGGGGACAUGAGUUCCCUGGCAUGUGGGUGGCAACACUGCCCCCUGCUGGUGUUGGGCAGCAUCAUCAGGCACCCGGGCAAAGGCUCCAGCCUCAGCCUCGGCCGUAGGUCACAGCCGAUUGGACACAGAACCUGAGAUUUUCCUACAAAGUUUAAGAUUUGAACUGAAUACCAUCCAGAGGUGUGAUCCUAAAGCAAUGGCGACAUUGCUACUAGGUUCAAGCAGAACUUACUUUUUCCCUACUGCUCACCAGGUAUUAAAUAUUUAGUGACAUUUCUGUUACCUGGCAUUGUAAUUAUUUCAAAUGAAUUCUUGUGUUCUAUAUUGUUUCGUUUUUAUUGGACUAUGUUUUUCUUUACAUGUAUUGUGGAUACCUUUGUAAAGACUCAUCCAAAUUUAUUUUUUUGCUCCAUAUUUUGUAAGAAUUUUUAGUAAUGCAUUUGCCUUGUCAGUAUGAAUCUUAUAUAAAUUUAUUCUAAUUCAUUUCAUAUUGUGGCUUGCUUUCUAUUUACUGGCAUUUCCUGAAAUACAAUGUCUAUAUUUGCUUUUAUAUGAUAUGUGAAGUACUUGUAAAUUUACAAGUAAAUUUAUUGUGUUUACUUGCAGCCUA
rnacentral:lncRNA from 1 species